ACUGGCAGGCUAGAGUCUUGUAGAGGGGGGUAGAAUUCCAGGUGUAGCGGUGAAAUGCGUAGAGAUCUGGAGGAAUACCGGUGGCGAAGGCGGCCCCCUGGACAAAGACUGACGCUCAGGUGCGAAAGCGUGGGGAGCAAACAGGAUUAGAUACCCUGGUAGUCCACGCCGUAAACGAUGUCGACUUGGAGGUUGUGCCCUUGAGGCGUGGCUUCCGGAGCUAACGCGUUAAGUCGACCGCCUGGGGAGUACGGCCGCAAGGUUAAAACUCAAAUGAAUUGACGGGGGCCCGCACAAGCGGUGGAGCAUGUGGUUUAAUUCGAUGCAACGCGAAGAAC
rnacentral:rRNA from 1 species